UACGGUAGGGUGCAAGCGUUGUCCGGAAUUAUUGGGCGUAAAGAGCUUGUAGGCGGUUUGUCGCGUCUGCUGUGAAAUUUCGGGGCUCAACCCCGAACUUGCAGUGGGUGACGGGCAGGACUAGAGUGUGGUAGGGGAGACUGGAAUUCCUGGUGUAGCGGUGAAAUGCGCAGAUAUCAGGAGGAACACCGAUGGCGAAGGCAGGUCUCCUGGGCCAUAACUGACGCUGAGAAGCGAAAGCAUGGGGAGCGAACAGG
rnacentral:rRNA from 1 species